UACAGAGGGGGGCAAGCGUUAUUCGGAAUUAUUGGGCGUAAAGGGCGCGUAGGCGGCCAUUCAAGUGACGGGUGAAAGCCCUCGGCUUAACCGAGGAACUGCCUGUCAGACUGGAUGGCUUGAGACCGGGAGAGGGAUGUGGAAUUCCAGGUGUAGCGGUGAAAUGCGUAGAUAUCUGGAGGAACACCGGUGGCGAAGGCGGCAUCCUGGACCGGCAUUGACGCUGAGGCGCGAAAGCUAGGGGGAGCAAACGGG
rnacentral:rRNA from 1 species